UACGGGGGGGGCAAGCGUUGUUCGGAAUUACUGGGCGUAAAGGGCUCGUAGGUGGCCGCCUCAGUCCGACGUGAAAUCCCUCGGCUCAACCGGGGAACUGCGUCGGAUACUGGGUGGCUUGAAUCCGGGAGAGGGACGUGGAAUUCCAGGUGUAGCGGUGAAAUGCGUAGAUAUCUGGAGGAACACCGGUGGCGAAGGCGGCGUCCUGGACCGGUAUUGACACUGAGGAGCGAAAGCCAGGGGAGCAAACGGG
rnacentral:rRNA from 1 species